UCAAAAGCAAUUUUUUUAGAUGUACUCUAUUUGAACUCAAGAACGUGGCUGUGCAGGAAUAGGAAGAUUUUGGGGAGUUAAAGCCCCUGAUUUUUAAGAAACCCAAAAAGGGAGUAGAUAUGUCUAUUGGGUGAACACUGAAUCCUUCCAUUUUACCAUUCUUGGGGUGCAUUGAAACCUAAUUGAAUGUCAAUGAUAAUUAAUGACAUCUAUUGAAGGCUAAGUGUUUGAUGAUUUGCCAAAGUGAGAUGUGAGAUUGGAUGUGUAAAUACAUUAAAUCUCUUUAACCAAUUCUUUUGUGUUGAUUGGAGUCAUAUGUGAUGUCAAAGAAGGUUUGUGAGGUCUACUGAAGAUUAGAAGUGGUAUUUGCUAGGGAAUGAGAGAAAAUUGAAAAUGAAGGGAAAGGUACUUGUGUGGGUGAUUAGAAUAUCGAGAAGGACUUCAAUGUGCAUUAAAGAAGUUGUAUGUGGUAUCCCAAUGUUGAAGAAACCCACUUCUUGAUGGAGAAUUGGUGAUGAUGAUGAGUUUGCUCAAGUGACUUGUUCAAUUAGCGCGCUCUAGCCAGGUUACUGGGCUCGACAAGAGAGCUUUGACCACAUGGAUGUGACCCUUAGCCUCUUCUACAGGUGGUUCCAUGCAUGUGAGAGUUGUGCGAACUUCCGCAUUCAAAUUACUUGUCCAAAGAUAAUUUCUUAGGCUAAGGGGUGGAUGGAGGAGGAGGAAAGUGGGUCCAAGUCAUUGUAGACAUCAAGCAAGAGUUACCAAAGAUGGAUCAUCGUCCACUUGAGAUAAAACAACUUAGCGACCAGGUCCUGCAACAGUAUCACGAGAUUCAUAGGCCCAUGAUCAAUUGAGGAGAUGCUGUGACGAACUGAGACGUUACCAAGAAGAGUUGGUUGAGACCCAGCAACAGCUCACGCUUUGUAGAGGAAAACUUCAGAGUUCAGACUUGUCAAGAUAAUCUGCACCUCUACCAGUAUGAACUCAGGUCACUACAGCCCCAAUACAAAAUGGUAGGAUGUCCCUACCUACGCCAAGGAAAUUGCAACUAUCCACACUAUGUGCCGAUGCCUGAGCCAGACAGGAUCAGAGAAUAAGCAAGAAAAUGUGCCCCUACAAGAUUGAAAUGUGUCCAAAUCCAUACUGUGAACUCAAGCAUGGCCCUCCAUCAGAAGCUGAUCAUAAUAUAAAAAUCAAGCCUUGCUACUACUAAUACGAGAAAGGAAAUUGCCUCAAAGAUAGUGAUUGUAAUUUCUCACAUGGUGGGGAUUAGGAGUUCAGGAUUUGUGAUAGCUUCAUAAGAACAUUUACUUCCUUGUAUUCAGUUAACUCUUUUUUGGAGUGUAUUGUAACUGUUGAG